UACGAAGGGGGCUAGCGUUGUUCGGAUUUACUGGGCGUAAAGCGCACGUAGGCGGAUCGAUCAGUCAGGGGUGAAAUCCCAGAGCUCAACUCUGGAACUGCCUUUGAUACUGUCGAUCUGGAGUAUGGAAGAGGUGAGUGGAAUUCCGAGUGUAGAGGUGAAAUUCGUAGAUAUUCGGAGGAACACCAGUGGCGAAGGCGGCUCACUGGUCCAUUACUGACGCUGAGGUGCGAAAGCCAGGGGAGCGAACGGG
rnacentral:rRNA from 1 species